CCAAUAUUCCUGAAUCUGAGACAUUUGUCCUGCCAUCUUGGGAGUAUUUCUGUGUUUAACUGCGUUGCAUUAUGACGCCUUUCUGUAAAAUGCUUAGAGACAGGAAGGUCUAAUCUAGAUUUACAAAUUGUAGAUUAGCAUUUACAAAGCCUUCCUUUUAUCUUCUGAAUCCAACAAACAUUUAUUUUGCCGUAGGAACUAAAUAAUUGAAUCUACAAAAGAAGACUGUAACUGGUAAAAUGACCAUGUACCAAUACUGUAUCCCUGUAACGCAGUACAGAAACCGGGGCACUUAUUAACAUUAUACCAAUCCAUAUUCUUCACUUUACCAAAUAAACUGCUACCCCUCACACCAAAUAUACAGUUUGAUCAAACCGGAAACAUACAAGCCAAUCGAUAGUGC